UACGUAGGGCGCAAGCGUUAUCCGGAAUUAUUGGGCGUAAAGAGCUCGUAGGCGGUUUGUCGCGUCGACUGUGAAAACUGGGGGCUUAACUCUCAGCUUGCAGUUGAUACGGGCAGACUUGAGUUCGGUAGGGGAGACUGGAAUUCCUGGUGUAGCGGUGAAAUGCGCAGAUACCAGGAGGAACACCGGUGGCGAAGGCGGGACUCUGGGCCGAUACUGACGCUGAGGAGCGAAAGCGUGGGGAGCAAACAGG
rnacentral:rRNA from 1 species